rnacentral:rRNA from 1 species
UACAGAGGGUGCAAGCGUUGUUCGGAAUUACUGGGCGUAAAGCGCGUGUAGGCUGCAAUGUAAGUCGGAUGUGAAAGCCCUCAGCUUAACUGAGGAAGUGCAUCUGAUACUGCAUCGCUUGAGUGUCGGAGGGGAUGGCGGAAUUCCCGGUGUAGAGGUGAAAUUCGUAGAUAUCGGGAGGAACACCUGUGGCGAAGGCGGCCAUCUGGACGACGACUGACGCUGAGACGCGAAAGCGUGGGUAGCAAACAGG